UACAGAGGUCUCAAGCGUUGUUCGGAUUCAUUGGGCGUAAAGGGUGCGUAGGUGGUGAGGUAAGUCUGAUGUGAAAUCUCCGAGCUUAACUCGGAAAUGGCAUUGGAAACUACUUUGCUAGAGGGUUGGAGGGGAGACUGGAAUUCUUGGUGUAGCAGUGAAAUGCGUAGAUAUCAAGAGGAACACCGGUGGCGAAGGCGGCGUUCUGGACUGCAACUGACACUGAAAAACGAAAGCCAGGGGAGCAAACGGG
rnacentral:rRNA from 1 species